GAUUUCAAUAAGUUAGUUAAUACUAAUACACGAAAAAUGAUGAGCUAAUUAUAUUAGAUUAAUAGAUCUUAAAUUAUAUGUAGCAACAUAUAAGGAAUAAGUUUAAUUAGGGGUGAUAGGCUUUUCAAAUUGUUUGAUAACUUGAUCUGCAGGAAAAAUAUUUAGUAUUAAGACACUUAAGAAAUGGUUAGGUUUCUUAAAAACAUUAAAAGAAUUAAUUUUGGUGCAGGUAAUUUAAUCAUUUCUGUUUAUAACUGUUAAUAAUUGUAUUUUAUUAAUUUAUGAAUACUACUGUAGCAACUUCUCGAUUUCAUGUGGAGAAGUUAGUUAAUGAAAAUAUUAGUAUUAUAAUAUAUUUUAAGCAGGAACUCGGCAAAAAGUUUUGCUCAACUGUUUAACAAAAACAUAGCUAAAUGUGUUUAUAUUUAGUUUUCUCUGCUCAAUGGUUUAUCUAAAUAGCCGCAGUA
rnacentral:rRNA from 1 species